rnacentral:rRNA from 1 species
UACGUAGGGGGCAAGCGUUGUCCGGAAUCAUUGGGCGUAAAGCGCGUGUAGGCGGCCAGAAAAGUCCGCUGUGAAAACUCGAGGCUCAACUUCGAGCUGUCGGUGGAAACUUUCUGGCUAGAGUCCGGAAGAGGAGAAUGGAAUUCCUGGUGUAGCGGUGAAAUGCGCAGAUAUCAGGUGGAACACCAGUGGCGAAGGCGGCUUUCUGGACGGUAACUGACGCUGAGACGCGAAAGCGUGGGGAGCAAACAGG